UACGUCCCUUCAUUUUCUUUUCCUUUUUCUCUCUUAAAAGCAAUUUUGUAAUAAGAUAACAAAAAUACAUAUAAAGUGAGUCUCGUGUUUGAGGAGAGCAUGGUGAGUGUUUUUGUUGGUGGUGUACUGACAAUUUUGAUAAACGUUCUUAGUGAGAGUGGCAAAAUGAUUUUCCGGCAUGACAAAGCUCCUUAACUUUUGAUAAAAUUGUUCUCUUUAAGGUUGCUUUAGCUCGUACUUCCGUCAUUAUAAAAGCGGGUUGAUGUAGAAGGGAUUUUGAGAAGGAGCCUACUUUGAGUCCAUUGACGAAGGCCUCUAUGAACAUAGUUUCAUUAGGAGUCACCACUUGGGCUAUCAUAUCACUGAAAUGCUACAAUGUCGGAUUUGUUUGUAGUACAGAGCACUCAUGGACUGGACUUGGUGGGACCAAGAUUGCAUGUUUAUGUAACAAUCAGCCAUCUGCUGCAUUGAAUUAGGUUCUUCUCCUCAGCUGAUUUUCGAGUUUUUUGUGUGGUUCCUGGGGAUAGGCACCUCGAUUCUGAAGUGAACAGUUAGUGAAAUGGAGAAGUCUGCAUCUUCCCAUACAAGCAGGACUACGUUAUCCACAUUACGAAGGGAAAUGCCGAUUGUUAUUGUGGCAUUCAAAGUAGGAUACAAUA